rnacentral:piRNA from 1 species
UCCAAAGCUGUAGCUGUGUAAGA